AAUCAGGAAUCGUCGGCAAUGGGCGAAAGCCUGACCGCGCGACGCCGCGUGUGGGAAGAAGCUCUAACGAGUGUAAACCACUGUGGUAGAGGAAGAAAUCCCGAUUUUCGGGAGUGACGGUACUCUACUAGAAAGAGGUCGCUAACUGCGUGCCAGAAGCGUCGGUAAUACGUGGACCUCGAGCGUUAUCCGGUUUUACUGGGCGUAAAGGGUCGUGUAGGCGGCUUUUUAAGUUAUCUUUGAAAUCACUCUGCUUAACAGAGUAACCGGAGAUAAUACUGAAAAGCUAGAGUUUUCUUGAGGGAGAACGGAACUGAGGAAGGAGCGGUGAAAUGCAAUGAUAUCCUCGGGAACACCAGGGGCGAAGGCGGUUCUCUGUAAGAAAACUGACGCUGAGACACGAAAGCUAGGGGAGCGAACCGGAUUAGAGACCCGGGUAGUCCUAGCUGUAAACGCAUGCCUGCUAGCUGCAUUUUCCCGAUUUAUCGGAAAGGUGUGGCGAAGUUAACACGUUAAGCAGGUCGCCUGGGGACUACGACCGCAAGGUUAAAACUCAAAGGAAUUGGCGGGGAGGUACACAACCAGUGGAACAUGUGGUUUAAUUCGAGACGAACCGAAGAACCUCACCAGGACUUGACAUCUCGCUGCAGACUCCGGGAAACCGGAGAGGCCUUCGAGGGUGCGAGACAGGUGCUGCAUGGCUAUCGUCAGCUCGUUCCGUGAGGAGUGCCCUUAAGUGGGACAACGAGCGCAACCCUCUUCCUGUGUUAGAUAUGUCACAGGAUACUGCCCUCCGAUUCGGAGGGAGGAAGGGGAGGUAGACGUUAAGUCAGCAUGGCCCUUAUGUCCUGGGCUACACACAUGUUACAAUGAGUAGAACAAUAGGUUGCGAACCGGCGACGGUAAGCUAAUCCUAUAAAUCUACUCGUAGUGGGGAUUGAAGUCUGAAACUCGACUUCAUGAACGUGGAAUUGGUAGUAAUCGGAGAUCAGUCAUGCUCCGGUGAAUACGU
rnacentral:rRNA from 1 species